rnacentral:rRNA from 1 species
CCAAUAGCGUAUAUUAAAGUUGUUGCAGUUAAAAAGCUCGUAGUUGAAUUUCGGGAUCAAUAUUUCGGUCAUGCCGUUGGUAUGCACUGUUAUCAUUGAUUUCUCACCUUCUAAAGAACCGUAAUGCCAUUAAUUUGGUGUUACGGGGAAUUAGGACUGUUACCUUGAAAAAAUUAGAGUGUUUAAAGCAGGCUCACGCUUGAAUACAUUAGCAUGGAAUAAUGAAAUAGGACGUUCGAUCCUAUUUUGUUGGUUUCUAGGAUUGACGUAAUGAUUAAUAG